ensembl:snRNA U6 U6 spliceosomal RNA
GUGGUCACUUUGGCAGCACAUAUACAAAAAUUGGAGUGAUACAGAGAAGAUUAGUAUGGACCCUGCUCAAGGAUGGCACACAAAUUCGUGUCGUGUUCCAUAUUUUU